rnacentral:rRNA from 1 species
GAUGAACGCUGGCGGCGUGCCUAAUACAUGCAAGUCGAGCGAACAGACGAGGAGCUUGCUCCUCUGACGUUAGCGGCGGACGGGUGAGUAACACGUGGAUAACCUACCUAUCAGACUUGGAUAACUUCGUGAAACCGGAUCUAAUACCGGAUAAUAUAUUGAACCGCAUGGUUCAAUAGUGAAAGACGGUUUUGCUGUCACUUAUAGAUGGAUCCGCGCCGCAUUAGCUAGUUGGUAAGGUAACGGCUUACCAAGGCGACGAUGCGUAGCCGACCUGAGAGGGUGAUCGGCCACACUGGAACUGAGACACGGUCCAGACUCCUAAGGGAGGCAGCAGUAGGGAAUCUUCCGCAAUGGGCGAAAGCCUGACGGAGCAACGCCGCGUGAGUGAUGAAGGUCUUCGGAUCGUAAAACUCUGUUAUUAGGGAAGAACAAAUGUGUAAGUAACUAUGCACGUCUUGACGGUACCUAAUCAGAAAGGCACGGCUAACUACGUG